GAUGAACGCUGGCGGCGUGCCUAAUACAUGCAAGUCGAGCGAACAGACGAGGAGCUUGCUCCUCUGACGUUAGCGGCGGACGGGUGAGUAACACGUGGAUAACCUACCUAUAAGACUGGGAUAACUUCGGGAAACCGGAGCUAAUACCGGAUAAUAUAUUGAACCGCAUGGUUCAAUAGUGAAAGACGGUUUUGCUGUCACUUAUAGAUGGAUCCGCGCCGCAUUAGCUAGUUGGUAAGGUAACGGCUUACCAAGGCAACGAUGCGUAGCCGACCUGAGAGGGUGAUCGGCCACACUGGAACUGAGACGCGGUCCAGACUACUACGAGAGGCAGCAGUAGGGAAUCUUCCGCAAAGGGCGAAAGCAUGACGGAGCAACGCCGCGUGAGUGAUGAAGGUCUUCGGAUCGUAAAACUCUGUUAUUAAGGAAGAACAAAUGUGUAAGUAACUAUGCACGUCUUGACGGUACCUAAUCAGAAAGCCACGGCUAACUACGUG
rnacentral:rRNA from 1 species